rnacentral:sRNA from 1 species
GCUGGGUGUGGUGGUGCGCGCCUGUAACCCCAGUUGUUUGGGAGGCUGAGGCAGGAGGAUUGCAGGUUGGAGGACAACCUCAGCAACUUAGUGGGACUCUAAGCAACUUAGAGAGAUCUUGUCUCAA